UACGUAGGGGGCAAGCGUUGUCCGGAAUUACUGGGCGUAAAGGGUGCGUAGGCGGCCUGAUAAGUCAGAUGUGAAAUACCAGGGCUCAACCUUGGGGGUGCAUUUGAAACUGUUGGGCUUGAGUGCAGGAGAGGAAAGUGGAAUUCCUAGUGUAGCGGUGAAAUGCGUAGAGAUUAGGAGGAACACCAGUGGCGAAGGCGACUUUCUGGACUGUAACUGACGCUGAGGCACGAAAGCGUGGGUAGCGAACAGGAUUAGAUACCCUGGUAGUCCACGCCGUAAACGAUGGAUACUAGGUGUAGGGGGUAUCGACCCCCCCUGUGCCGGAGUUAACGCAAUAAGUAUCCCGCCUGGGGAGUACGGCCGCAAGGUUGAA
rnacentral:rRNA from 1 species